CCUACGGGAGGCAGCAGUGGGGAAUAUUGCACAAUGGGGGAAACCCUGAUGCAGCGACGCCGCGUGAGUGAGGAAGUAUUUCGGUAUGUAAAGCUCCAUCAGCAGGGAAGAAAAUGACUGUACCUGACUAAGUAGCCCCGGCUAACUACGUGCCAGCAGCCGCGGUAAUACGUCGGGGGCAAGCGUUAUCCGGAUUUACUGGGUGUAAAGGGAGCGUAGACGGCUAAUCAAGUCAGAAGUGAAAACCCUGGGCUCAACCUUGGGACUGCUUUUGAAACUGGGAAGCUAGAGUUCAGGAGGGGUAAGCGGAAUUCCUAGUGUAGCGGUGAAAUGCGUAGAUAUUAGGAGGAACACCAGUGGCGAAGGCGGCUUACUGGACUGUAACUGACGUUGAGGCUCGAAAGCGUGGGGAGCAAACAGGAUUAGAUACCCGAGUAGUC
rnacentral:rRNA from 1 species